GGUUCUGAACUUAUCUUGGCAACAAAGUAGAAGGUUUUAGAUUGGAGCAGUAUCCAACCAAAACUAUAGUUAAUAGGAAUGACCAUUGUGAGUUUGUUCUAACGGACACCGCAACUCUUUUUUAAGCACUUGUUCUUUGUUUCACGCAAAAUCUGAUUGAAUUCUAAUGCAUGUUUUUAUAGAUCAUCGAGCCGCACGUUUUCGUUUUGAAAUUGGUGGCAGCAACCUCCUUCAAGGUGAAUAAUCGUACGUGGCAAACAGCAGGUCUACCCUCUACAGUUUUUACGCAGUUGGACUUGAUAAAGAAAACCAAGGUAAGAACACACCCUUCAUCCUUGUGAUGUAUUCAUAAUUGUCAACGGCCACUAACGUCCUUUUCUCCUACACACAAUCCAGAUGCUUUUUUUUAAACAAAUGGAGCCAAGUUGCAUACCAUUAAGUUGAAUGGGUCUUCUUUAUUUCAUACUAAAAUAUGUCGUUCUUCGGAGGAUGUUCCCAUAGAACAGGUGUGACGUAGCAACUGCUCAAGUUAAAUAAUUUACAUGCAUUACCUUGUGGUUAAGGGACGAGACUAAUAUCAGUUGAGAGGAAGUCUUUGCUCGGACGGUUUAAUCUCGCAAAGUAUGAAAAAGUAAGUCAGAGCCACUCCAACUACUUGCCCAUAGCCAGUAGUAAAUGAACUUUAAAACAAAUAGAGGGAUGGUCAUUCACGCGCUUACCUGCGGUAAAAGUUUCUUGCCGACAUUGAAAUAAUUGCCAUUGGCACUAAUUUGCGGAAUGGUCUGCGCCAUUUGUGUUACGAGAAACUCCGUCUGCGUAAAAAGAAUAGUACUUGUCUCAAUUCCGCAUCAAAUAUUCUUUUUGUUGUUACCUCCAUUUGAUGGCCAGCUAACGGCGUGUCAGUCCAUUUAAAUUUUAAUAAUUGUCUUAUAACAUCUCCAGCCUAAGAGUUUAAAAGAAUAAUUUUUUUUUAUUUUUUAGAAUUGCUGCAGAUCGACGAAGAAAUUGUACCUUGUUGGAAACACGAUCUGCAAAGGAACACAUUAAGAUCAGGUGGACCAAAGCAAACAACAAAAAGGAGAGAUCCGUUACCGUUUUGAGUUCCAUGCCAAACAGGUAAAAGCUCGAAUUGAUGAUGGCAACUAAAUAAAAGGUUGUAGAUAGGAGCAGUAUCCAACCAAAACUAUAGUUAAUGUUAUCGACUGUAUCACAGGCCAGGAAAUAUAUUUGCUUUACUGCAAAAACGAAAUAUCUGACGUCUUUGUGCUGGCUGUUUAAUAACUGAACUUCACGUCGCUCGAUUUCCAUCUGAAUCAGCUCGAAUGCAAGAAACGAAGCAUAGCAGUGAACGACAAACAGUAGCAAGGCAGUCAUUGGAUAGAUGGCUGACAAUGUCGAAAUGGAAGUGAUGAAGAGAUGAUGGUUAAAAGAAGUUCUCCUGCGCAGAUGAUAAUCCGUGACCAACAAAAGAAUCCCAGACACCUUUAAUCAUUCAGGUAAUCGUAU